AAAAAGCUUUCUGUUUUAGCAGAUGUGAUAAAUUGGCAUAACUGAGAUGCAAUCAUCUACCACCUCCAGGUCAUUCUUUAUCCUUAUGCAUCGUUGAACCUAAAUGCAAAACUUAACAUUUAUCACUAUUAAGUUCCACCCAUUUGUUUCAGUUUAUAGUUAGGAUGAAGCCUUUCUAAAAAUGUAAUAACAUUGUCCAAUAUGUUAUUAGUUCUCCUUCCUAACUUUGUUUCAGUUAUCUCAUAAGCUUGCUUUAACAUUUUUAUUAUGGCAAAAUAUAUAUGACAUAAAAUUUACCCUUUUGACAACUUUUAAGUGUACAAUUCAGUGGCAUUAAGUACAUUCAUUUUGUUAUACAACCAUCACCACCUUUUGCUCCACAUUAUCCUUUACUCUCUCCCUCUCAAAUGGCUCUUUCUAUUGGCUCUUUUUUUUUUAAUUAUACUUUAAGUUUUAGGGUACAUGUGCACAACGUGCAGGUUUGUUACAUAUGUAUACAUGUGCCAUGUUGGUGUGCUGCACCCAUUAACUCAUCAUUUAACAUUAGGUAUAUCAUUAGGAAGGAGGCUAACCCCUGUUCUCUAAACUAAGCUCUGUGUCAUCCACUCUCAGCAAAAAAGUAUCCAUACUCAAAGGCUGGGGGUGGCCCCACCUUGCUACCAAAGCUCAGAAAACCGAUCUGACAGUUGAGUCACAACUCUGCUACACAUUUCUUUAAUCUAAGACUUUUCUUUUCCUGUCAUAAUCCUAUCUUUCCUUGUACAUCCUAUACUAAAUGCCUUCCAGGAAUCUUUCUCUGAUCCAAUUAAGUGCCUUUAAAAUGUUCAUAUCCCAGGCUCCCCUGCCACCCCCACCACACACACACAUACAAUUCUGCUUAGACUACAAAGUCUUCUCUACUUGUAGGAAUUUCUAUAGUUUGUUUUGCGGGAGCAAAAGAGUUCUGUUGAUAUAGAUUUUUCAAACAACCGAGAGUCCCUACACCAAGAUAUUCUGACACAGCAAGGGUAGGA
rnacentral:lncRNA from 10 species